ACGGAAGGCAGCAGUGGGGAAUAUUGGGCAAUGGGCGAAAGCCUGACCCAGCGACGCCGCGUGAGGGAAGAAGGUCUUCGGAUUGUAAACCUUAGUCAACAGGGAAGAAGCAAGUGACGGUACCUGUGGAGGAAGCCACGGCUAACUACGUGCCAGCAGCCGCGGUAAUACGUAGGUGGCGAGCGUUAUCCGGAUUUAUUGGGUUUAAAGGGUGCGCAGGCGGCUUUUUAAGUCAGUGGUUAAAUCGUGACGCUCAACGUCAUCACGCCAUUGAUACUGGAGAGCUUGAUUGCGGUCGAGGUUUGCGGAAUUCGUCGUGUAGCGGUGAAAUGCAUAGAUAUGACGAAGAACACCGAUUGCGUAGGCAGCAGACCAGGCCGUAAAUGACGCUCAUGCACGAAAGUGCGGGGAUCGAACAGGAUUAGAUACCCUGGUA
rnacentral:rRNA from 1 species